CAGCGUCCCCUGCCGCCGCGCGCUGCCACACCUGCAUUAAACGGGGGAAGUCCGUCGAUGCGGUGAGCAGGCGAAGGAGAGAAGCUGAGUCUGCGGACGGAGAGCCAACGGAGGCAGCGAAGCGGGCACUACAGCCGCAAGGAUCGGAACAUCCUGGUCCAAAAGGCUGAAGGUGCUCAGCGAGAUACAGCUGUGGGACUUUACGUAGCCCAUGGCUGAAUAUUAAAAAAAGGACCUUCACGGCUCAGAAAGGAAGACAUCAGACUGACAAACCAAGUGCGCAGGUUUUCCUUUGUGAUCCCUAACAGAGAGGACAGUGACACUGACUCGGCCAUUGUCUCUGCACCGUUUCCGGAUAGAGUGAGGCUCCCCGAGGUCCUUGCCUGUCCAUUGUAUCAGGAGAGAGAGAGAAAGAAAAAAAGAAAAAUCCAGCUUGUCUACAUAAAGACCUAUUCAGCAUCAUUCCUCUUGGCUGACAGUAACAGAAUCCACCAAGAAAAGCAGUGUCCUUAGCCCCGAGCAAUUCCCUUCAUCCUUAGCCCCUUCUUCUCAAACCGCUUUACACCUAUUCCUCCCCCUCAGCCUCAAUCCACUUCCCAGCCUUAUCCCCUAUUUGAAGUCCCACAUGACAGCUCAAAAACAUCCGUUACCCUACCAAUCCACACGAGCCUGCUCUUCUCUCCCUCCAGCCCCUGUGGCGCUUGGCACCAGUGCCCAUCACAUAGACAGAUGGAGCCAACCCUGACCCCUCUCUUCGCCCAUGGGGACGCCAAGAGAUUCAACGCCUGAGUAAAGGAGAGGGGCGGGGGUUGGAGUGAGAGUGAGCGUGAAGAAAAGGAACAGGAAGAGCAGAAGGAGAGCAUCACACUGUCACCACGGCAACACAUCACACAAUCUCCUGUGGACUCCCCAUCAGCUGUAGUCGAUGCUCUCGGAUAAAAUCACUCGCAACGGGAAGUUCAGCACAUGUUUUCCCAUUGGCAUGUUUUUACUUUGGGUGUUUGACAGAAAAAUCUUCCACUAGCUUCUUUUUGUCUGGGCAAGGUGUCAUUAAAAUACUUGAUGAGGAAACCAAAGAUAUAGGAGGAAAACCAUUUUUCUAUGACAUACAGACUCUGAACACUAAUUUCAGAUAGAAGCGAGCACCAAAUGGAAACAGACUGAGAGAACUGAGUUAAUAAUUUGUUUCACCUGAGGAAACCAGAAGAAACAAAUCUUGUGGGACUUCACACACUGUGGGUGUGCUUUUCCUUCCUGUUACCUGUGACAUUCAUAUAUGCAAUACAUUAAUUGCAUGGGUAUUAACUUUGCACAGGAGCAUUAUCAGGUUCAUUUUCCUGAUGCCAAACUUUUCCUGUUUGGAUCCUGUUUUUUACAUUUCUCUGCAGCUGAUCAGGACUCAGAUGAGCAUACAAUGCCAGGCAACCAAUUUUAAGAGAGCCACGUUCCACAAUAAAUGAAGUGCUAAUAGCCAGUGAAAUGAAUCCAGCUGGCCAACAUAACAGAGAGGGGAAUACCGGCAUCCCAAAGCUUCCCAGGUGACUGCUGCCGCCGUGGAGGGACAAGCUAAAAAUUCUGCUGCUGCUGCCCGGAUUCUUUGCUUUGAAUAUUGAUGCAGUAAAGGACAAUUUGUAUCCACUGGCUGUGGGCUAUAAAGAUUUUCAUUCACACAGAGGCAAGCAACCCAAGAUGACUUUCUGGGAACUUUUUGUACACACCGGUGCUGAUAAGAUCUAAAUACACUGGGCUUAGAGGAGGCUUACAA